CCUACGGGAGGCAGCAGUGGGGAAUAUUGGGCAAUGGGCGCAAGCCUGACCCAGCAACGCCGCGUGAAGGAAGAAGGCUUUCGGGUUGUAAACUUCUUUUCUGCGGGACGAAGAAAGUGACGGUACCUCAGGACUAAGCCAAGGUUAACUACGUGCAUGCAGCCGCCGGAAUACGUCGGUGGCAAGCGUUAUCCGGAUUUAUUGGUUUUAAAGGGCGUGUAGGCGGGAAAGCAAGUCAGAUGUGAAAACUCAGGGCUCAACCCUGAGCGUGCAUUUGAAACUGUUUGUCUUGAGUGCUGGAGAGGCAAGCGGAAUGCCGUGUGUAGCGGUGAAAUGCGUAGAUAUACGGAGGAACACCAGUGGCGAAGGCGGAUUGCUGGACAGUAACUGACGCUGAGGCGCGAAAGCGUGGGGAGCAAACAGGAUUAGAUACCCCUGUAGUC
rnacentral:rRNA from 1 species